rnacentral:rRNA from 1 species
GAUGAACGCUGGCGGCGUGCCUAAUACAUGCAAGUCGAGCGAACGGACGAGAAGCUUGCUUCUCUGAUGUUAGCGGCGGACGGGUGAGUAACACGUGGAUAACCUACCUAUAAGACUGGGAUAACUUCGGGAAACCGGAGCUAAUACCGGAUAAUAUUUUGAACCGCAUGGUUCAAAAGUGAAAGACGGUCUUGCUGUCACUUAUAGAUGGAUCCGCGCUGCAUUAGCUAGUUGGUAAGGUAACGGCUUACCAAGGCAACGAUGCAUAGCCGACCUGAGAGGGUGAUCGGCCACACUGGAACUGAGACACGGUCCAGACUCCUACGGGAGGCAGCAGUAGGGAAUCUUCCGCAAUGGGCGAAAGCCUGACGGAGCAACGCCGCGUGAGUGAUGAAGGUCUUCGGAUCGUAAAACUCUGCUAUUAGGGAAGAACAUAUGUGUAAGUAACUGUGCACAUCUUGACGGUACCUAAUCAGAAAGCCACGGCUAACUACGUG